UGUCCUGGGGUGUGGGGCGUGAUGGGGACCCCACAUUUUGGGGUGUGGGGUCGCUGCGGUGCACAGAGAAGGAUGGGGACCCCCUGUUCUGGGGUGGGGGGUCCCCCUUGUCCUGGGGUGCAGGGUGGGGUGGGGACCCCUCAUUUUGGGGUGUGGUGUCCCUGCAGCUCACGGGGCAGGUUGGGGACCCCCUGUUACAGGGUGUGGGGUCCCCCUGGUGCACGGGGCUGGAUGGGGACCCCUUGUCCCCAAGUGUGGGUUGGGGUGGGGACCCCAUGUCCCUGGGUUUGGGGUUCCCCAGGUGCAGGGGUGCAAGGCGGGAUGGGGACCCCCCAUUUUGGGGUUCGGUGUCCCUGCAGUGCACAGAGCAGGAUGGGGACCCCCUGUUAUAGGGUGUGGGGUCCCCCUGGUGCACGGGGCAGGAUGGGGACCCCAGGACCCGGGGUGGGGGGUCCCUGUGGUGCAGGGGUGCAGGAAUGGAUGGAGACCCCAUAUCCCGUGCUUUGGGGUGGGAUGGGGGCCCCGUAUUUUGGGGUGAGGCAUCCCCGCAGCGCACAGGGCUGGAUGGGGACCCCUUGUCCUGGCGUGCAGGGCGGGGUGGGGACCCCAUAUCCCUGGGUUUGGGGUCCCCCAGGUACAGGGGUGCAAGGUGGGAUGGGGACCCCACAGCCCGUGGUUUGGGGCGGGAGGGGAGCCCCGUAUUUUGGGGUGAGGCAUCCCCGCAGCGCACAGGGCUGGAUGGGGACCCCUUGUCCUGGCGUGCAGGGCAGGAUGGGGACCCCAUAUCCCUGGGUUUGGGGUCCCCCUUGUACAGGGGUGCAAGGCGGGAUGGGGACCCCCCAUUUUGGGGUUCGGUGUCCCUGCAGCAGGAUGGGGACCCCCUGUUAUAGGGUGUGGGGUCUCCCUGGUGCACGGGGCAGGAUGGGGACCCCAGGACCCGGGGUGGGGGGUCCCUGCGGUGCAGGGGUGCAGGGCGGGACGGGGACCCCAAAACCCGUGCUGUGGGGGGGCACAGAGACCCCCCAUCUUGGGGUGCGGGGCCCCCCCGGUGCAAGGCUGCAUGGCCAGGGGGUGCCCCCCCCACCGAAGCCCCCCACCCCCGGCACGGGGGGGUCCUGGGGGGCUGGGGGGGCGCCAGGUUCCCUGGGGGGCACUUUUGGGGCUGGGGGGCCACCCGCACCCCAAGGNNNNNNNNNNNNNNNNNNNNNNNNNNNNNNNNNNNNNNNNNNNNNNNNNNNNN
rnacentral:lncRNA from 1 species